UAGGCAAGUUCAGGUCAGCUCUGGGAGUGAAUGAGCAGCCCCCAGUCACAAGAGCCAUGGCAAUGAAUGAUGUACAGCUCCCCAUGACCUGUGGAGCAUAUUCUAGCAGCUAGUGUUUGCUGCUGCAGAGGGAGAAGAAUGGGGAAGGUAGAAGGAUAUAUGUGGAGGGGAAAGAGGAGGAUACACGGCAUGACAUGCUCACUUAGCACUUUGAGAAGAUAAAGGUUUUGGAAUGAAGCUGCAGAGACACACGGAGAGAAGCAGGGACACAGGCAGAAGAAGAAGCAGGCUCCUUGCAGGAAGCCCGAUGUGGGACUUAAUCCCAGGACCCCGGGAUCACGCCCUGAGCCAAAGGCAGACUCUCAACCACUGAACCACCCAGAUGUCUCCAGACAUGAGCAUUUUAAUGGUUUUCCUGCAAAUACCUUCUCUUAUGUUGUGUAUUUACAAAAUUUUUAAUGACUCUUUUGAGAACUAGAAGUUCUUAAUUUUAUUACAGUCAACUUUGAUUUAUUUUUCUU